rnacentral:rRNA from 1 species
AUUGAACGCUGGCGGCAUGCCUUACACAUGCAAGUCGAACGGUAACGGGCCUUCGGGUGCCGACGCGUGGCGAACGGGUGAGUAAUACACCGGAACGUGCCCGAUCGUGGGGGAUAACGAGGCGAAAGCUUUGCUAAUACCGCAUACGAUAUACGGUUGAAAUCCGUGGACCGCAAGGCCUUGCGUGGACGGUGCGGCCGAUGGCAGAGUAGGUAGUUGGUGGGAUAAAAGCUUACCAUGCCGACGAUCUGUAGCUGGUGUGAGAGGAUGAUCGGCCACACUGGGACUGAGACACGGCCCAGACUCCUACGGGAGGCAGCAGUGGGGAAUUUUGGACAAUGGGCGCAAGCCUGAUCCAGCCAUGCCGCGUGCAGGAUGAAGGCCUUCGGGUUGUAAACUGCUUUUGUACGGAACGAAAAGCCUUCUUUUAAUACAGGGGGGUCAUGACGGUACCGUAAGAAUAAGCACCGGCUAACUACGUG